UUUUUUUUUUUUUUUUUUUUUUUUUUUUAUGUGGAUCCCACUUAUCCUGGUCCCUGGAUCCCCCAGCCUGGUGUUGGCAGUGGUCUGAGCUGGGAGUUCACCUGAAUGCUAUCCUCCCUACAACUAGCAGGUAAUGCUUGCAGCAGCUCUAGAAAUUGCUUAGGAGACCAUGCAGUGGAAGAUUCUGCUUGUUUAUGGAAUAAGCUAUUCCAGCUGGAUGUGUCUGCUGGCCUUUGAUCCAAAUGUUCUGUGCUGUCAAAAGAGGGUAUAAUCAAAGAACCUGCUAAGGGAUCUCAUUUUGUUUGAGUCUUAGAAUGUCAAUUCACAACAGUGUGACAGUUUUGCUUAAUUUCAGAAUGAUUAGGCUUAUUGGGAAAAAACCCAAUUACACAAAAACUUAAAAGCAAGAGCAUUCCUAAGUCUUGAUCAUCAUAAAAGUCUGGCAUCAUUUUUAGAUAAAUAUGGUAUUAUGUUUUGUGGUUCUGAAUGGAACACUUUGGAAACUUUGAUUUUGACAUACAGUUUGUCUUUGCAAGCUGAAAUAAUAGCAAUUAAAAAUUCAACUUUGUUAAUAAAUAAUAGACUGAAGAAGAAAAUGGUUCAAACAGUUGUUUUGUGAAGGGUUAAAAGACCUGAAGUGCUACAGGGACGAAAUCUUCCUGGCUUGGUCUGAGACACUGGAUUUUUAUUGCACUGUUAAGCAGCAAGCAGAUAUUGCUAUUGAAUGUAAGUCUCUCCUACAAUAAAAUAAGUUCUAACAAUGAUAAACACUCUGAUGCAACUGAAUGUGAAGAUUGUCUAAAGCACUUUCUUUUUCAGCUUUGAAAAACAUUUCCAUUUAACAGUUCUGGCACAGAAGAGCUUUGCUGUACCAUUGUCCUGGUAUCUGUAAAACAAUCUUGUUUUCACAGAUGUCCCUCAGAAUACUAUACACUAUGAGCUGAGGAAAUACCAGUCUUGAUGGAACAGUAAUUCUGAAUUCUGCACCACACUAUCAUUGUGAAUAGCAGUAAUGAAUUCUGGUGACUGUGUGGACAGAGAAUAUAAACCCCAGAGCUCUCAGGGUUAAACUGAAAUUGAUACCACUGAGCACUGUCUUCUCUACUCUUUCCCUGAACCCCACUUACACUGAGAGGUGCUAAGUAACAGCUAAGGAAAUCUCUGAAUUACUGCUAUUGCUAUUGAGCUAUUCUGUUCCAAACAAAAGGAAGACAAUCUGCAUUGUCUUUGGUCAGAAGAAGGCCCACCUUGGAGGAGGUAAGUAUCUAUGGAAUACCCAGGGGACUAUAGGUGCUUUAGGAUCAAAAUGCACCUACAGAGAUCAUGCCUGUGUGGAAUACACAGGCUGUCUUGCUUAGAUCGUCUGCCAACAGCUUGCCCUCCCUGUAGAGACAGUGAAUUGACAGUGAAUUUACUGGAUCUAUGAUAUUCAGAACUUAAAACACAUUAGCUCUCUAACUUAAAUAGUUUCAUUCCCUAUGCUUGCUUAAUGCAGUCAGAUAGUCCAUGCUCUUACACACAGUGCUUUUUUUUCAGAGAGCAGCACCAAAAGCAGUGUGGGCAGCUGGUCAAGGGAGUAGGUUCUCCCCCUCUACUCCAUUCUUAUGAAACCACACCUGGAGUGCUGCAUCCACCUCUGGUACCCCCAGCAUAAGAAGGAUGUGGACCUGCUGUCCAGAGGCCACAGAGUUGAUCAGGGGCUUGAGAGCCUCUACUGUGAAGACAGGCCAAGGGUGUUUGAUUGUUCAGCUUGGAGAAGAGAAGGCUCCAGAGAGACCUUAGAGCCCCUUCCAGUACCUAGUGGUGCUACAGGAGAGCUGGAGAGGGACUUUUCACAAGUGAUAGCAUGCAGUGAUAGCUCGAGGGGGAAUGACUUUAAACUGAAAGAGAUACAGUUUAGAUCAGAUAUUAGGAAGAAAUUAUUUACUGUGAGGGUGGCGAGACACUGGAAGAGGACAAGGGCCAAAGUUUUAAACAGAAAGAGGGUAGAUUUAGAUUGGACAUAAGGAAUAAAAUCUUUAUGAUGAGAGACAAGCUUAAAUGUUUCUUGGGAUUAUGAGAAAGUAGUAGCUUCGGAAGCCUGGUUUUGAAGAAAAACAUCAGCAGUAUUAACUCCACACCAGCAGAGGGAAACACAGCCUCAAGAAAACGAACUCACCCUCUUGGGAGAUGUUUUUCACCCAUCACAUCCACUGAAAUGGACCGAUUUAGCCAGGGAUAAAUUAAACAAGUUGUGAUGCAGUAGGAUAUGCUGUCUUGUUUCCUGCAUUUACUAUGUACACCAACAGAAAUAAGUAAAAGAGAUCUCUGCUUUAAGAUGUAUCUGUUAAUAUGUGAUUCAGACACCUUGGGCUUGAUUUUUUCCAUGUUUGUGUUUCCUAUUCUCCAUUAAGUUAAUGGGUCCAAAGUGCACUUGGCAAAAUAAGAUCCAAGUCCAGCACAGUUAGAAGUGACUUACAAAUGUUGGAAUUCACCUCUUUCACCUCGGAAGAUGACAUUCAAACACCAGUCCUUGGUAGGUGCCUGUGACAAAACCACACCUGCAAACAGACACGAUUGGCAGCUCUUCUGACACGCCAGCGAGAAAAACAAACCCUGCUGGCCCACACCCUCUCCAUGCAAAAGACAAGUGCAGGGUUAGGAUAGGUUUUAUCAGAAGUUCAGCAACAGAGGAGCAUUGCUGCUCUGAGGAGGUGUAUCCAAAACCCUGGGAGGGUUUCCAAAACCAAUGGGGAAGAUAGGAAUUGUCGAAAAAGCUUCCAAGAGUAGGAUUGCAUAUAAGCAUGAAUAUUACCUCUCUGAAAGCACUUCACCAUUCUGGGUUCACAACAGCUGCUUCCAAAUUCCUCUGAACCAACUUGCUUCUCAUCCUCACUGUUCCAGCUUCUAAGGGUUACAUCUGUUAAAGGACACUUCCAAAAACACGUAAUUAAAAGAUACUGAACUCCUCCAGGCAACCAAAGCAACAUAUUAUGACCUGUUUGCCAACUCUACACAAACAAAACAAUGCACCACAGUGUGUUCUGCUCCAAGGGACACUGAAAGCAGUGACAUUAAAUACCAAUCAUGUGGGCUAAAGAAAAGAGAUGGAAAUUUAAUCAAAAGUUGAUGGCUAUGACUAGUAAUUUUGCAAGACUGGAAUGCCUUAAAAACAUGUUCAAAAAUGGGGCUACAGUGUCCUCAAUGCUACAGUGUCCUCAAUGCUAAAUUCCUGGGGCUGCAUCCUUGCUUUUGUUGCUGGCAUCUUCAUCUGCACGUAGCUCACUGGGGGUUCCCUUUGUGACAAAGAAAACUGCACCUAAGCCUGGGCAGUUUGCUGCCCUUCCUGCCAGAGCACAGUUGCUCAAGAACAAACAUUUCUACCUGCAAAUGCAGUGUGACUCUGGCAGUAAUUCCCUAUAGGAAUGUGAAAAACGGGAUGCAUGCAAAGAAUAGUGGCCAGCCAACAGACAGAAUCUUGGUUGCUUUUCAUCUCUUUCCAUCCAGUGUACUCUACAGCAUAAGGGAUAGUGGUCACUGCACCACAGAUGAGUUACAACUCAUAGCUACUGACAUGCUCUUUUCUGUAUCCUGUCACAUUUGUCAUCUGCUUUGGCUAUUUGCCUUCCAGAGUAGGCUCAUCUUUGGUACAGUCUGUAAAUGCUGAACACCAGCUUCAUCUCAAUGAGUAACUAAACUUCCAAGGAAACACAGCUAAUUCAGAUGGUGAAAAAAACAGCAAGGGCUCCACACCAGUGAUGCAAAACUGCCUUGCACAAAGGGACAUUAACCACAGCCCACAAAACUGAGCAGAAAAAUGUAAUUCUGUGCCCCAACCUCAUUCUUUUAGGUGAAGUAACAGAUACACAGAUAUCUUUAAAACAAUGGCCAGUCUCAAGACCUUAAUUUGGUUGCAGGAGAGAAAUCUGCAACAGUUAAAAACUGUCGACCUUGGAAAUAAAAGCAAAAAAGCCUCCUACCAAAUCACAAUGCAAAACAGUAUCUUAGUACAGCAGUGGGAGGAACAGGAGUAGAGUUUAGAAAGGAAAGUAUCAUUAGGAACCCAUUUUGUCCUUUUGCUUCUACACCAAACAGUCACCUGCAGCUAACCAAGGCUAGAAUCCUUUAACAUCUCCCACCCGAAGUGACUCCAUCUGAAAACUGAUGGUAUCAGAACCAACAGUGUUAUAACAGAAAGUUGCACACAUAUCCCUAACUAUCUGGAAAUAUCCCUAAAAAUCCAGAAAUUUAGAUACUGAAAACACUUUCUUUCCUUCCCUCUACUGGGCCUCCUCUCCUAUUUCAAGGGUUGCUUGUUCCAGAGUGAAGUCUCAUAACUGGGCUGCAAUUCUUCAUUUCCAUUCCCUGCUCAAAAAUUCAGCUGUUUUCAAAAUACAUGAGCUGUUACUAAGAUCAGGCUAAGAUGAGAGAUCCCCAAUCCAAGACACAAAAGUAUUCAGGCUGCAGAGAGCACUUUGAAUGAUUUUGAGAGUACUUCUUCCCUCAGAGUCUUACCUUGCAUCUAGGACCACAGAAAGCUGUGCAGAGGGAUGUUACAGGGAAGGUUAAGCAGAUAUUCUUCCCUGUAACACAGCACUGUCCACAAGUCUGGAUAAGAAGGCACUAGAAAAUUGUAUAUUGUUUUUUUAUUUGUCCAAAAGCCCAAGUUCUCCACAUUGCCUCAUCCCCACAGAAAUGUGACUUCUGAUCCAUUAGUGACAUCACAGCUCUAAGGGAUACUGUCCCUCCCUUCCCUGCUUCCUAUAUCAUACUGUUAGGGACAACAGUUGUUACUGCUAAGGGGCUGAACAUGGAUGGUUACCAGGAAUGCUAGAGAGCAGCUUCCCAAUCUUUUCCCUUGGAAGAAUCCCUAUCCCCGUAUCCCUAUCUUUUUCUCCUGCAUCUUGGGGGCUAUGGAGAAGCAGCAGCAGGUUCUUCCCUAGAGAGACAACUCCAGCAGCUGCUAUAUAUGCCCUCCAGGAAGGAAAAGAUGAGCAGAACUAGAAGGAAGACUUUUGCCUUCAUUAGAAAUCUUCAAAGGUGAAGUUCUAAAAUACUCAAAUUAUUUUUCUAAUUAAAAUGCUGAGAAAAAGAUGGAGAUGUACUCCAUCUCCGACAGAAACUCUUCCUAAUGUGUUUAACAUGAUUUUGGAGCCCAGUACUACUUACUCAACUCCCUUCCACCAGCUGGGAUAGUAGAUCCAAAGCAGAUCGGGGCAAACACUCAGAAGGACCAAGGAGCUUGCCCAAAUCUCAGCACCAGGCACAUGCAGAGGACAGCAGCAGUGACCCAGUGAUGGCCAAUCUCCACAACCAGCCCAUGUCUAGGCUGAAGUGCCCAAGCCAGGAAGCAGUGUCGGGGUGAGCUUAUCAGCCUGUGCUUGUCAGACUGGCCUGUACACCACCAGCUAAACUAAGGGGGUCAGUGCAGGGGAAGGAGCACACAGUGGCAGCCUCUCUCCCAAGGAUUCCACCCUUGAAGCUUUUAGAGGUGACCUGGUUGUUGCACUGCAUGCUCUCCCUUCUCAACUUUACCGUUGCAGCAGGGCAGCCUCCAAAGCCGUGUCUGGAAAAACACUGAAGUGAUGACAACAUGGGAUGAGAGGGUCAGAGAGAUGAUGAUGCAAUGUCUGAUUCCAAACCUAGAUUUUUGCAGACCACCUAGAGGUAAAUGCACAGCGAUAAACCAAGUUGUCUAGACAGAGAAAGAGUGGAUUAGAGAAGCAACCAAGGUGAUAAGGCAAAAUAUAAGGAAAAUGACCCAGAAAAAUAAAAGAAGACAGUGGUCAAGACAUAGCUGUCUGUUUACAUCAUACACAACUGGGAAUGCAGUCCAGACAAAUUACAGAGGUUUUCCAGAUCUAAUGCUAAACAAAAUUACAACCUCUCUCCAAGUCUGGCCCAAAUACAAAUAUACCCCACCCCAAGACCUCAUCACACUAAGCAAAGCAGACUUUUACAAGUACUCCAUUUCUGUAGCUGGCACAACAGCGCUGAACUAUUAUUACUCUGUUUUCACUAUACAGUACAAGUAAUAUCAAAAUCUUGUAUCAUGAAUAUCCAAUUACUAUUUAAUUGUUGAUACCCAGUACUUAAAUUCAAAGAAACAUAAGAAAGACAAAGGAAAGCAAAACUUUACAUGACACCAACAGAUUCUUGAUCACAGCUCUUGAAUUUGAGCUUUUACGCAAGGUACGUGAAGAGAUGGAUUGCAAGACCAAUCCCUCUCAACAAAGAUAAAUGAGCGUAAAAGCCAGGAACCUUCUCCUCAGUAUUGCAAUUUGCUAACUUUCACUCACUACUAAGACAUUUAAACUGAAAGAUAAACUUAUUUUAAUUUCUGUUUUACUUUAACACAUUUAGGGCUGUGAAAUACCAAAAGUAACAGAGCAUUUCUCUCACUGAAAAAAAGGAAAACACACUUUCAGAGUAAUAAAAAGAAUAGUUAUCUGUGAUAGACACAGAGUAAGGUAUAUUCUUGGGCUACCAUAUGUGCAUGUGUGCUUGGGACAAGGAUAAGAACAUGGGGGGCCAGUUAAGAGCAGAAAAAAGACCAGGGGGAAAAAAAAUAUAAAAAAAAAUACUACAAAGGCAGGAGGAGCACACUUGAGGCAGCAGAACAGAGAACACUGCUGAACAACCACAAAAAAAAAAAA
ensembl:lncRNA